AUUCAUGUAUCACACAAUAAAUGUCUGUGGAUGUUCAGAAACAUUGGCUGAUAAGAUGACUGAAGAUAAAAUAUUCCAACAUUAUGAUGAUUCACAGCACACUGCACAAAUCACAUAAAAGUCUCUGAGAAUAAAACAUAAUUAUGAGCUGGUAAAAUAUGUCACCUGACCUGAAACAACAGAAGGUAAGAAGAAAACACAAGAAGCAAGCCUGCAUGUUUGCAGUGGACAGGAAAUGUGAACACGUCACACAACUGCUGUGGUCAAAGCUACAGGAGCUGUUUGAGGUUUGUAUAAAAGGAAAGGAAGCACAGAGAGGCCACAGUCAGAAGAAACACUCUGGUCUUAUCUGUAUUAAAUGCAGCUUCUCUUUUUAUUAUUGAUGUAAAGUCAAAGUGUUUGAGAUCAGCUGAGGAUCAGAGUGCAGCAGGGCUGGAUGUGAGGAUGGGGCACUCUUUGCUCUGCAUGACGGGCUUAUUGUUGCUCGGUACUCUCUUCUACAUUAAUGCUGAAGUUCCCAAUAAGCCCACCGUGAUCCUCGAACCAUCCUGGCCUCAGAUAUACAGCAGUGAGACAGUCACUGUCAGAUGUGAAGGAAGUCAGUCGCUGUUUGUUUGGA